rnacentral:rRNA from 1 species
AGCUCUCGAAGUGUAUAUCAUUGUUGUUGCGGUUAAAAAGCUCGUAGUUGGAUGUGCGCCCUUUGAGGCGGUGCACCCUUUGGGUUGUCACUGUCGUCUGGGGCUAAUCGGCUGGUUUUCCCUCGGUGCCCUUCACCGGGCGUCGAUGGGUGACUAGCGCGUUUACUUUGAAAAAAUUAGAGUGCUCAAAACAGGCGUCCGCCUGAAUACUGGUGCAUGGAAUAAUGGAAUAGGACCUUGGUUCUAUUUUGUUGGUUUUCGGAACACGAGGUAAUGAUUAAGAGGGACAGACGGGGGCAUUCGUAUUGCCGCGCUAGAGGUGAAAUUCUUGGACCGCGGCAAGACGAACAACUGCGAAAGCAUUUGCCAAGAAUGUUUUCAUUAAUCAAGAACGAAAGUA